UACAGAGGUCCCAAGCGUUGUUCGGAUUCAUUGGGCGUAAAGGGUGCGUAGGCGGCGCGGUAAGUCGGGUGUGAAAUCUCGGAGCUUAACUCCGAAACUGCAUUCGAUACUGCCGUGCUUGAGGACUGGAGAGGAGACUGGAAUUUACGGUGUAGUGGUGAAAUGCGUAGAUAUCGUAAGGAAGACCAGUGGCGAAGGCGGGUCUCUGGACAGUUCCUGACGCUGAGGCACGAAGGCCAGGGGAGCAAACGGG
rnacentral:rRNA from 1 species